rnacentral:tRNA from 2 species
GGGGAUAUAGCUCAGCUGGGAGAGCGCCCCGUUUGCAACGGGGAGGUCGAGGGUUCAAAUCCCUCUAUCUCCACCA